AGCAGUAUGGUGUAUUGUGCCCGCGGAGUUCUCAUGUUGGAUUGGAGAAUGAAUUCACCCCGAGGUCCUCGUUCGAAUCGAGGUCCUGCUU